AUGAGAAGUCUGGUUUCACCUUCAAGGAAACAUGCAAUAGAUGAGUGACAUGGCAUUCUAACUGGCAUUAAUUUAGAAAAGGCAAUAGCUAACUCCGGUGUUUCAAGGGAGGAUGUGAACUACAUAAAUGCACAUGCCACAUCCACACCUAUUGGAGAUCUUAAGGAGUACCAAGCUUUGAUUCAUCUACUUGGAGCAGCUGGUGGUGUGGAAGCAGUAGAAACUAUACAGGCAAUAAGGACAUGGUGGACUCAUCCUAAUAUUAAUCUAGAAAACCCAAAUAAAGCAGUGGAAUGA